rnacentral:lncRNA from 1 species
GGCUAAGGGUCGAAUUGGAGCUACAGCCACUGGUCUACAGCACAGCCACAGCCACACCGGAUCCUUAAUGCACUGAGCGAGGCCACGGAUGGAACACGCAGCCUUAUGGCUACUAGUCAGAAUCGUUUCCACUGAGCCAUGAAGGGAACUCCCCAAUUUUUUUUUAAUAUGAUUUUUAUUUUUUUUCCAUCAUAGCUGGUUUACAGUGUUCUGUCAAUUUUCUACUGUACAGCAAGGUGACCCAUUACACAUGCAUAUACACAUUCUUUUUCUCACAGUAUCAUGCUCCAUCCUAAGUGACUAGAUAUAGAGUGCUAUAGAGCAGGAUCUCAUUUCUUAUCCAUUCCAAAGGCAAUACUUUGCAUCUCUUAACCCCAAAAUCCCAGUCCACCCCACUCCCCCUGCCACUCCCCCCGUGGCAACCACAAGUCUGUUCUUCAAGUCCAUGAUUUUUUUUUUCCUGUGGAAAGGUUCAUUUGUGCUGUAUAUUAGAUUCCAGAUAUAAGUCAUAUAUGUUAUUUGUCUUUCUGACUUACUUCACUUAGUAUGAGAGUCUCAAAUUCCAUCCAUGCUGAUGCAAAUGGCAUCCAAUUUUUUAUUAUUAUUAUUUUUUUUUUUUUUCGUUAAAUGCUAGACAUAGAACACACCAAAGUGAAUACCUAAGACCUUGGGCUUCAAAAGUUCUGGACUACAUGUUCAUUGCAGCACUAUUCACAAUAGGCAAGACAUGGAAUCAACCCAAAUGUCCACUGAUAGAUGAUUGGAUUAGGAAGACACGUGUGUGUGUGUGUGUGUGUGUGUGUGUGUGUGUGUGUGUACUAUGGNCGCGCGCACAUGCGCGCGCACGCAAAUACUACUCAGCCAUAAAAAAGAACAAAAUCAUGCCAUGUGCAGCAACAUGGAUGGAACUAGAGACUCUCAUCCUGAGUGAAGUAAGUCAGAAAGAGAAAGACAAAUACCAUAUGAUAUCACUUAUACAGAAGGUCCUUUAACCGAGUCUGCCUUCCCUGCCCUGGGGCUGUGAGGACAGAUGGGCCUAUGGGUACCUGCACCCACCACUCACAGGUUCACCCACCACUCUCAGGGAUGCAGAAGAAGAGCCAGGCACAGAGGUAGAGCGUGAACCACUCUGCACCAAGAACGUGGGCCUAAUCGCCCCAUGUGAGCCUUUAGGGCUGUCAUCCAAAAACAGUAUCGAUAACAGCAAGUUUGCAAGCUGUUUCUGAGGAACAAGUGAGAUAAUGUUUAAAAAGGGUUUUUAUCCUGCAAAGUCAUGGAGUCUGGGUAGCACCCCCUUUUGCUGGGAGGGCUCCCAGGGGCGGGCUGCCAUGAGGAAGCCUCUGCCUCAGCACCGUGCCCGGGGCUGGAGGGGACAAGCUGUGUCACUGGCCAGUUUUAACUUGGAGCUUGUCAGAGCUCCACGCUGCCUAGGCAACCUGCGCAGGGCCUCAGGGAAGGCUUCUCAGAUUUACUAAAACCGAAAUCAGCAGUUCACCUUUUGUGUUCCUCUCCACAUCUGUUUACAUCAGGUAGACGUCACUCAAUGGGGCCAACAAGGAACAGACUGGUUUGGCUAAAACACAGACCAUUUCUGCUGAAUGUGUUUGCAAAACCAAAAGCAGAAAGUCAUAAACUAAAAGCAGGCUGGAAGCUAGGGGAUGAUGUUGGGGUCCUCUGAAGCCAUCAGAGACCAGGAUACAGAAACCUGGAUCCCAGGCCCAGCUCCAGACAUCUCGCCACCAACAGGAGCCCUGGAAGUGACUUGGGGGGCGGUGCAUGAAUGGUGCAGCUGUAGUUUUAUUCCCUGCCUUCAGAUGUCAGGGUGAUGAGAUACCUCCCCCCACCCCAGCCAACCCAAGCUAAUCUGAAUGGGAUUUCAAAUCUUGCAAUUAAUGACUUACAACCCACCGGCAAAGGCUCUCACGUAAUUUUUAGAACCCACAUUCUACCAAAGGAAUUUGGCUGACCUCACUCCUUCCCAUCCUUCAGAUCUUAGUUCAGCUAUUAGUUCUUCAAAGAAGCCUUUCCUGACUCCUUCCUGCACCCCCCAAGUACACACAUGCACACACGUGCAUACACGCGCGCGCGCGCGCACACACACACACACACACACACACAGAGGAUGGGGGCUCCCUGAGACCUGCUUUCCCUGUACUUUAACUUCGCAGAAUUAUCACCAAUUUACAAUGAAGCACAUGGACUAUACGGUCUGACCAGCACCUGCUUCCUCCAGGGCAGGACUCUCCAUGAGGGUAGAGGUUUUGGCUCUUUCCCUCACCCCCUCCACCCACACUGUACAUAGUAGGAGCUCAAUAAGUUUGUUGAAGAGGGAGGGAGGGCAGAAGGAAAGAGAGAUGUGCAUUUGAACCCAAAAAGCAUCAAUCAGGAGUUCCCGUCAUGGCUCCACAGUUAAUGAACCCAACUAGCAUCCAUGAGCAGCAGGUUCGAUCCCUAGUCUCGCUCAGUGGAUUGAGGAUCUGGCGUUGCCGUGAGCUGUGGUAUAGGUCACAGAUGGGGCUUGGAUCCUGUGUUGCUGUGGCUGUGGUGGAGGCCAGCGGCUACAGCUACGAUUGGACCCCUAGCCUGGGAACCUCCAUAUGCUGUGGUCACCAAAAAAAUGCAUUCUGGUUCCCUGAAAGCCCUGUUUGUUAUUGCUUUACUAUUAUCUGUGUGAAGAACACAAUCUGGAAACAUCCAGAACCCUCUGGAAU